UGUGGUGAGCUGGAAAGAACAAGUUCUUUCCAAAGGAAACAGCCUCCAGCUGGGGCUGGGGGUGGGAGGGAGUUGGGGCUCAGUGUUGCUGAAUCUUUCACAUUUUCAACAACAACAACAACAACAAGAAGCCAUCGAUCUAAGAUCUUGUUCAAUUCCUUGAUCCUAAAUGUCGGCAACAAAUUCACAUUUUGUCUUAAACACUGUGGGGGUCCAACAAGCCACAUCUGCUAGUGGUUUUUAACUUACAGACUACUGGUUUGCAACCUCUGAAUAGAAGCCUUCCUCAUUAGAUUGUAUUGAAGUCCGCUUCCUUGGGAAUCCACGCACCUGGAGUAACCAAGAAUUACCCUCUUCCACAUGCCCUAUUUUGAAGCUAAACCUCAUUCCCCCAAAUAUCUCCUCUUUGUGCAACUACCUUCUGUGUCCCACACUGCCACAGCCACCCACCUCUGGAAGCCCUGCCCUCAUCUCUUUCGGUAAGUGGGCAACACAAUUAGCCAAAGGCUUCAGCAACGAUUGCUUUUCCUUGCUAGUAAUCAUUUUUCUUAGGUUUGCAUGCCUGGCUUCAGAAAAGGAAAUGAUGACUCAAUCCCUGAACUUCUUGUACAAGGCGGGUGAUUUCAGUAAGUGGAUGGAAGGCUGACACUGUUAACAGCAUUCUCGAUUAGUCGGAGAGUAUAAAAUGAGGUGUGUAUUUGAUCUACUGUCGGAGUAGCAGAUGGAACACAGCAACCAUGACAUGGUCGAGGAGAUGCAGACUUCUGCGUUCCAUCUGGCUUCUCCCUCUGGCUUCUCCCCCUGUGGAUAUGCUGGAAUCAUUAGAUCCUGCACGUGCAAAGACAGGAUGAAGAAAAGUGGCCUGCCUUUAAAGCAUCUGUAAGGACGCCGCUGAGGAGUAGAAAGGAGCAAACCAUCCGGCCACACAUAUAAGGAAGAUGGGAUUCAGAAGGUGCAAGUGAUUUGCCUAAUCCCUGACCCUACUGAAAUCUAACUUAGCCUUUUCUCCUUCAUGAACUUUCCAUCUCCAAUCGAAUUCAUCCAUACAUCGCAACAUCUCUCUCUGGUUUCAGGACAACGAUCAGAGCCCCGACCUGUUCAUACAAUACUUUUGUGCAAGUCACGGAAGGCACCCCAGCGUCUCUGCAGAUGAGGCCCCACUGAGGCCUCAUCCGUUCCCUCGUGGGUGAGAGACCCUCCUGCUGGUUAUAGCCUGUCCUCGCUACAUGAAGUCCCUCCCCAUGGCUGGAUAAUUCAGAUGCCUCCCAGCAUGACAAAAUUUCCACUUCAAUAUCUUGUCGAUGUUUUAAAUUAGGUAUUAUCCUCGUGCUUAAAUCUUUUUCCAUUUUUGUCUGUUCCCAUCAGCGGCGUGCUUAGACACCUCUGCUCUCAACUUGGGAAUCAAUAUUUAUUCUAGCUGGCUUGUCUUCAUCCUCACAUCCAGGUUGACAUCGAAUCUUUCCAAUUCUCUUUUGAAAAAUAACUUAGGUAUAUUUUUUCCCCUCCAACUACAACCCUCGGUUAGCCUGUUGAUUUCAUUCCUAGACUCCCGUAACAGAUUCCCAGUCUGUUUUAUAUUUUAGCCUCUUACACUUCCAGACCUUCCAACACAGCAACAAGAAUCAUAUUUCUUGGCCACCACUUUCAAUCAUGUUAAUCCCUUUCUCAGAAUACUGCAUCUGCUAAAAAUAAAAUAAAAAAAUAAAAAAAAUUCCCAGGCUUUUAUAACGCUUGACUAGUUUUAAUCCCACAAAAAUGCCCCCAGUCAUAUAACACUUUGUAGGUUCGGUUGUCCAGCUGCAGACCUGAGACCAAGCUCAGUGUUCAGUAUACAGGGUGUUCCCUUGGGAUCAACACCUGUGGAAGGGAGGAGGAGAGCAGGGUUGAGGAAAAGGAGAUAACAGGUUGUGGUCCAGACCUGGAGACUUGGCGGGCUCAGCCAACCCCACAGGGAGCUCCAGAACUCGUCAGACUUAUCCCACUCAGGGCUAAAAUGGAGAGGCCUUUACA